rnacentral:piRNA from 1 species
UCCACUUUUUUUCCUGCCUUUUUUGACUAC